AGUGAACGCUAGCGGCAUGCUUUACACAUGCAAGUCGAACGCCCAACUACAGAAUUUACUAUUAUAUAAAUUGUCUUAACCUUUUAUAUUUUGGUAACUUGUGUAGUUGGGAGUGGCAAACGGGUGAGUAACAGGUAGGAACUUACCCUAUGGUGGGGAACAACCAUUGGAAACGAUGGCUAAUACCGCAUAUUCCGGCAACGGGAAAGGCUUCGGCCGCCAUAGGAUAGGCCUGCCCCUGAUUAGCUUGUUGGUAAGGUAAUGGCUUACCAAGGCGACGAUCAGUAGCUGAUUUGAGAGAAUGAUCAGCCACACCGGGACUGAGACACGGCCCGG
rnacentral:rRNA from 1 species